GACGAACGCUGGCGGCGUGCCUAAUACAUGCAAGUCGAACGCUUCUACUAUCACCGAGUGCUUGCACUCACCGAUAGAAGAGGAGUGGCGGACGGGUGAGUAACACGUGGGUAACCUGCCCAUUAGAAGGGGAUAACACUUGGAAACAGGUGCUAAUACCGUAUAUCUCUAGUUGUCGCAUGGCAACUGGAUGAAAGACGCUUUCGGGUGUCACUAAUGGAUGGACCUGCGCUGCAUUAGUUAGUUGGUGGGGUAAUGGCCUACCAAGACCAUGAUGCAUAGCCGACCUGAGAGGGUGAUCGGCCACACUGGGACUGAGACACGGCCCAGACUCCUACGGGAGGCAGCAGUAGGGAAUCUUCGGCAAUGGACGGAAGUCUGACCGAGCAACGCCGCGUGAGUGAAGAAGGUUUUCGGAUCGUAAAACUCUGUUGUUAGAGAAGAACAAGGGGUGAGGGUAACUGUUCACCCUUGACGGUAUCUAACCAGAAAGCCAC
rnacentral:rRNA from 1 species